rnacentral:rRNA from 1 species
UACGGGGGGGCAAGCGUUGUUCGGAAUUACUGGGCGUAAAGGGCGCGUAGGCGGCCCUCUAAGUCAGACGUGAAAUCCCACGGCUCAACCGUGGAACUGCGUCUGAUACUGGAGGGCUUGAAUCCGGGAGAGGGAUGUGGAAUUCCAGGUGUAGCGGUGAAAUGCGUAGAGAUCAUGAGGAAGACCAGUGGCGAAGGCGGGUUUCUGGACAGUUCCUGACACUGAGACACGAAGGCCAGGGGAGCAAACGGG